CACCUAAAAGCUAGCCUGUCCACCCACCCACAACAACCAUGUUAAUAAACCCCAACGCACCAAUCACAAACAGUUAAAACAUUUUUCCUCCCUAGUACAGGUGACGAAAACGGACCAAUAGAGCUAUAGAACAAGUACCGCAAGGGAAAGCUGAAAGAGAGCUUAAAGAGAACAGUAAAGUGCCUUAAAGCAAAGCUAAACCCUUGUACCUUUUGCAUCAUGGGCUAGCCAGUAAGAGCAGGCAAGAGGGACCAUAGUCUGUCGCCCCGAAACUAGGUGAGCUACCCCACGACAGCCUAUUAUAGGGCAAACCCGUCUCUGUGGCAAAAGAGUGGGAAGAUCGUCGGGUAGAAGUGACAAGCUUACCGAACCUAGUGAUAGCUGGUUGUCCAAGACAUGAAUAUAAGUUCAGCUCUCCCCAUUUUUUGAUCUAGCUGGCACUCGCCCCUUGACCUAAAGAAGGAAGGAGAAGUUACUCGAAAGGGGUACAGCCCCUUCGAGGAAAGAAACAACUUUUUAAUGGAGGUUAAGGAUUAUAAUUUGCAGGGGACUCUGCCCUAGUGGGCCUAAGAGCAGCCACCUAAGCAGAAAGCGUCGAAGCUCGAGCAGGAACCCCCCCCCCCCCAUUAUACCUAUAGAUAUCCCCGAAACCCCAACUUUGUAUUGAACCCCUCUACUUGAAGUAGAGAAGAUCAUGCUAGUAUGAGUAAUAAGAAGCCAUAAGGGCUUCUCCCAGCACACGUGUAUACCAGAACGGACAAACCACCGAAAAUUAACGGACCCAACAGCAGAGGGUAAUGAUAUCUGCCUGAGCGACUAGAAAAGCACUCAUACAUACACCUCCCCGUUUAACCCACACUGGAGUGCCCAAAGGAAAGACAAAAGGGAUUAAGAAGGAACUCGGCAAACUUAAGCCUCGCCUGUUUACCAAAAACAUCGCCUCUUGCAAUUAACAUAGAAUAAGAGGUCCAACCUGCCCAGUGACAUUAUGUUUAACGGCCGCGGUAUUUUGACCGUGCUAAGGUAGCGCAAUCACUUGUCUUUUAAAUGAAGACCUGUAUGAAAGGAUAAACGAGGGCUCAGCUGUCUCCUUUUUCCAGUCAAUGAAAUUGAUCUCCCCGUGCAGAAGCGGGGAUCUCCACAUAAGACGAGAAGACCCUGUGGAGCUUAAGACCUAAGCAAAGCUCAUGUUAAUAAGCACUUAACGCAAACUAGAAACUAAGUGAGUACUAAGACUAGGCCUUCGGUUGGGGUGACCAUGGGGUAAAAACAACCCCCAAGCGGACAGGGAACUCUGCAGGAAUUUAACCAAAAACACAUAACCCUACUCCUCAAAGUAAGAGCCUCGGCUCUAGCUAGCGAAACUUUCGACUCAAAGUGAUCCGGACUAUACCGAUCAACGAACCAAGUUACCCCAGGGAUAACAGCGCCAUCCCCUUCUAGAGCCCAUAUCGACAAGGGGGUUUACGACCUCGAUGUUGGAUCAGGACAUCCUAAUGGUGCAACCGCUAUUGAGGGUUCGUUUGUUCAACGAUUAAAGUCCUACGUGAUCUGAGUUCAGACCGGAGCAAUCCAGGUCAGUUUCUAUCUAUGAACAGGCUUUCUUCUAGUACGAAAGGACCGAAGAGAGGGGGCCCCUGCUAAAGGCACGCCCCGCCCACCUCCGGUGAACUUGAAUAAACCGGGACAGGGGAUGAAUCCUCCUAUUAUAGAAAAUAGUAU
rnacentral:rRNA from 1 species